rnacentral:snoRNA from 1 species
UCUGUGGAGUGUGAUGACUUCAAACUUUUUUCCCCAGCAGAUCGGCAAUGUUGACCACAACUUGCAUGUUAGCCAGGGCUGUCUGAUUCCACAGA